UGGGGAAUCUUCCGCAAUGGGCGAAAGCCUGACGGAGCAACGCCGCGUGAACGAAGAAGGCCUUCGGGUCGUAAAGUUCUGUCCUCAGGGAAGAACCCUCAUGGGAGGAAAUGCCCAUGAGCUGACGGUACCUGGGAAGGAAGCCCUGGCUAACUACGUGCCAGCAGCCGCGGUAAUACGUAGAGGGCAAGCGUUGUCCGGAAUUACUGGGCGUAAAGGGUACGCAGGCGGAUAUAUAAGUCAAAUGUGAAAGGCACCGGCUCAACCGGUGAGCGGCAUUUGAAACUGUAUAUCUUGAGUUCAGGAGAGGAGAGCGGAAUUCCUGGUGUAGCGGUGGAAUGCGUAGAUAUCAGGAAGAACACCAGUGGCGAAGGCGGCUCUCUGGCCUGAAACUGACGCUCAGGUACGAAAGCUGGGGGAGCGAACGGG
rnacentral:rRNA from 2 species